rnacentral:lncRNA from 1 species
UUAAAUAUGUCUUGAGAGGCUGCCUAGGGUUUCAUGGAGGUCCAGGAGACUUUUAGAGGCUGUCCAAAGUGCCCUUGGUGAGUUAUGAGGCUUCUUUGUGCAUAGGUGAAGGCAAAAACGAGUUGGAGGCAAGUGGGGGCACUUUGGUCUUCUUACUUGCUGCCCUAGGUCUUCAAGAUGUUGCCUAAAUAGUUAGGAGGCUGCCCAUGCACUAUUAAGGAAGGUAAA